GGGGGUAUAGUUAAAAAUAACAUCUAAGUUGCAAUUAGAAAGAGCUUAAUAUAGCUGCCCUCAA
rnacentral:tRNA from 1 species